rnacentral:rRNA from 1 species
UACGUAGGGUGCGAGCGUUAAUCGGAAUUACUGGGCGUAAAGCGUGCGUAGGCGGUUCGUUAAGUCAGUUGUGAAAGCCCCGGGCUCAACCUGGGAAUUGCGGUUGAAACUGGCGAACUAGAAUCUGGCAGAGGGGGGUGGAAUUCCACGUGUAGCAGUGAAAUGCGUAGAGAUGUGGAGGAACACCGAUGGCGAAGGCAGCCCCCUGGGCUGAGAUUGACGCUCAGGCACGAAAGCGUGGGGAGCAAACAGG